rnacentral:rRNA from 1 species
GACGAACGCUGGCGGCGUGCUUAACACAUGCAAGUCGAAGAUAGUGGCGAACGGGUGAGUAUUACGUGGGUAACCUGCCCUCCUUUUUGGGAUAAGCCUUGGAAACGGGGUCUAAUACCGAAUAAAGGGGGAUGGGCUCGCGGCCUAUCGGCUUGUUGGUGGGGUGAUGGCCUACCAAGGCGGUGACGGGUAGCCGGCCUGAGAGGCUGAACGGCAACAGUGGGACUGACAUACGGCCCAGAGUCGUACGCGGUGCAGAAGUGGGGGAUAUUGCCGAAUGGGCGAAGGCGUGAUGCAGCGUGGACGCGUGGGGGAUGAAGGCUGUCGGGUUGUAAACCUCUUUCGCUAGCGAACGGGUAGGUGGAGAAGAAGCGCCGGCUAACUACGUGCCAGCAGCCGCGGUAAUUC